rnacentral:rRNA from 1 species
UGGGCGUAAAGAGCUUGUAGGCGGUUUGUCGCGUCUGCUGUGAAAGCCCGGGGCUUAACCCCGGGUUUGCAGUGGGUACGGGCAGACUAGAGUGCAGUAGGGGAGACUGGAAUUCCUGGUGUAGCGGUGAAAUGCGCAGAUAUCAGGAGGAACACCAAUGGCGAAGGCAGGUCUCUGGGCUGUAACUGACGCUGAGAAGCGAAAGCAUGGGGAGCGAACAGGAUUAGAUACCCUGGUAGUCCAUGCCGUAAACGUUGGGCACUAGGUGUGGGGAACAUUCCACGUUUUCCGCGCCGUAGCUAACGCAUUAAGUGCCCCGCCUGGGGAGUACGGCCGCAAGGCUAAAACUCAAAGAAAUUGACGGGGGCCCGCACAAGCGGCGGAGCAUGCGGAUUAAUUCGAUGCAACGCGAAGAACCUUACCAAGGCUUGACAUAUACUAGACCGCCUCAGAGAUGGGGUUUCCCUUCGGGGCUGGUAUACAGGUGGUGCAUGGUUGUCGUCAGCUCGUGUCGUGAGAUGUUGGGUUAAGUCCCGCAACGAGCGCAACCCUCGUUCUAUGUUGCCAGCACGUAAUGGUGGGGACUCAUAGGAGACUGCCGGGGUUAACUCGGAGGAAGGUGGGGAUGACGUCAAAUCAUCAUGCCCCUUAUGUCUUGGGCUUCACGCAUGCUACAAUGGCCGGUACAAAGGGUUGCGAUACUGUGAGGUUGAGCUAAUCCCAAAAAGCCGGUCUCAGUUCGGAUUGGGGUCUGCAACUCGACCCCAUGAAGUCGGAGUCGCUAGUAAUCGCAGAUCAGCAACGCUGC